rnacentral:lncRNA from 1 species
AAUUUAGUCCCUACUACAUAAAACUUAUGAUUUGUUUUACAAUUCAAUCCUUUUCUCAAUUCUAACUUGAAAUUCUAUCAAUUUGACCCCUAAUUCUUCAAUUAUUUCAACAUGAACAAUAUCUAAAAAUAAACUAACUUUCAAAAUUUCAACAUAAAUCAAGUAAUAUUUUGUUCCAGAUUCUAAAAACAUCAAAAUUACAAGAAAAGGGACUAAAUUAACUUAUGAAUCAAGCUUUAAACCUUGAAAUCCCU